AGUGAACGCUGGCGGUAGGCCUAACACAUGCAAGUCGAACGGCAGCACAGUAAGAGCUUGCUCUUACGGGUGGCGAGUGGCGGACGGGUGAGGAAUACAUCGGAAUCUACUUUUUCGUGGGGGAUAACGUAGGGAAACUUACGCUAAUACCGCAUACGACCUACGGGUGAAAGCAGGGGAUCUUCGGACCUUGCGCGAUUGAAUGAGCCGAUGUCGGAUUAGCUAGUUGGCGGGGUAAAGGCCCACCAAGGCGACGAUCCGUAGCUGGUCUGAGAGGAUGGAUCGGCCAACCGGGAACUAGGAACGGUCCCGACUUCCAAGGGAGGGAGGCGGUGGGAAUUUUUGGCAAUGGGGGGAAGGCUGAAUCCGGCCAUCCGGGGUGGGUAAGAAGGGCCUCGGGGUUUAAAGCCCUUUUGUUGGGAAAGAAAAGCAGCAGGUUAAUACCCCGCUGUUCUGACGGUACCCAAAGAAUAAGCACCGGCUAACUUCGUG
rnacentral:rRNA from 1 species